UGGGGAAUAUUGCACAAUGGGCGCAAGCCUGAUGCAGCGACGCCGCGUGGGGGAUGACGGCCUUCGGGUUGUAAACUCCUUUCGCUAGGGACGAAGCUUUUUGUGACGGUACCUAGAUAAGAAGCACCGGCUAACUACGUGCCAGCAGCCGCGGUAAUACGUAGGGUGCGAGCGUUGUCCGGAAUUACUGGGCGUAAAGGGCUCGUAGGUGGUUUGUCGCGUCGUCUGUGAAAUUCCGGGGCUUAACUCCGGGCGUGCAGGCGAUACGGGCAUAACUUGAGUACUGUAGGGGUAACUGGAAUUCCUGGUGUAGCGGUGAAAUGCGCAGAUAUCAGGAGGAACACCGAUGGCGGAGGCAGGUUACUGGGGAGUUACUGACGCUGAGGAGCGAAAGCAUGGGUAGCGAACAGG
rnacentral:rRNA from 1 species